GCGAUUGUAGCUUAAUGGUAAAGCAAUAACCUUCCAAGUUUUUUAAAAGGGUUCGAUUCCCUUCAUUCGCU
rnacentral:tRNA from 1 species